rnacentral:rRNA from 1 species
UGCCAGCCGCCGCGGUAAUACGUAGGUGGCAAGCGUUGUCCGGAUUUAUUGGGCGUAAAGGGAACGCAGGCGGUCUUUUAAGUCUGAUGUGAAAGCCUUCGGCUUACCGAAGUCGGGCAUUGGAAACUGGGAGACUUGAGUGCAGAAGAGGAGAGUGGAACUCCAUGUGUAGCGGUGAAAUGCGUAGAUAUAUGGAAGAACACCAGUGGCGAAAGCGGCUCUCUGGUCUGUAACUGACGCUGAGGUUCGAAAGCGU